UACGGGGGGGGCAAGCGUUGUUCGGAAUUACUGGGCGUAAAGGGCUCGUAGGCGGCCAACUAAGUCAGACGUGAAAUCCCUCGGCUUAACCGGGGAACUGCGUCUAAUACUGGAUGGCUUGAGUUUGGGAGAGGGAUGCGGAAUUCCAGGUGUAGCGGUGAAAUGCGCAGAUAUCGGGAAGAACACCCGUGGCGAAGGCGGCUCUCUGGAACGCAACUGACGCUGAGACGCGAAAGCGUGGGGAGCAAACAGG
rnacentral:rRNA from 1 species